AGUAACAGAUUUUACAUUUCACCACUGAUGCAAAGCAAAAGUGAGCAAACCGUUGGAGCAGAGGACAGCAUCUCUCACCUCCACAUAUUUUAAGAUGAAAUUCAGCUUGUUUUUCAGAGCUGUGAAUCAUGAUAGCCGGGCACACUCGAUAGGUAAUUUAAUCAAGACUGGAUGAAGGCGAGGCUCAAAUGAGAACCACAAAGGGUUAGUCUUUCUCGAUAGCUCUGUCCUUUCACUCUUCGGCAGACACUGAGCUUCACCAACUGGCUCGCUGGAGGUGUUAUUAAAAAUUCAGCAAGAGAAACAAAGGUGUAUAAGUGCCAGAUCUCCUCUUACUCUUUCCUUCAGAUACUUUGACAGACAAAAGUGAGGUAUGGCCAGGAUUAGUUAAGG